rfam:Triticum urartu cultivar G1812 contig890109, whole genome shotgun sequence.
GAAAUACUUUUUCCGUCUGAAAAUACUUGUCAUUAAAAUGGAUAAAAAAAUAUAUCUAAAACUAAAAUACGUCUAGAUAUAUCCUAUUUUGUUUAUUUUGAUGACAAGUAUUUUCGGACGGAAGGAGUACUAU